UGUUCUGUGGCCUAGUUGGUUAAAGCGCCGGUCUAGCGAAUACGGAGUCGUGUGUUUAAAUCCCACCAGAACAC
rnacentral:tRNA from 1 species